rnacentral:rRNA from 1 species
UACGGGGGGGGCAAGCGUUGUUCGGAAUUACUGGGCGUAAAGGGCUCGUAGGUGGCCAACUAAGUCAGACGUGAAAUCCCUCAGCUUAACUGGGGAACUGCGUCUGAUACUGGAUGGCUUGAGUUUGGGAGAGGGAUGUGGAAUUCCCGGUGUAGUGGUGAAAUUCGUAGAUAUCGGGAGGAACACCGGUGGCGAAGGCGGCGACCUGGGUAGAUACUGACGCUGAGGAGCGAAAGCGUGGGGAGCGAACAGG